rnacentral:lncRNA from 1 species
UGAGUUUAUAAAGAAGAAUUUUAUUAUGAUUGACAGGUACAACCUGAACAAGGGGAAAAGUACAAAAUCUAUUACAAGACAUAUUACAAAAAUUACAAGGAAUGGAGAAAAAUGUUGAAAAGCUGAAAAGCAGAAUUAGCCAUAUGGAAGAGGGCAAAAAAGAGCAAGAAAUAGACCUGCAAGAAUAUAAAGAGAUAACAAUUAGCCAAGAAAAAUAUGACAAAAAAGAUAAAGGAAAAGGGAUAGAAGUAGUAACUACUCACUAAGCCAAAAAACUCAAACCUUUCAAUAUCCAACUUAUACCAGAGCAACCCAUACCAAAAAGAACAGAUUUUAUUUACCAAUUACUAAAACCCCAGACAAAUACUUACAGUGAAAUCACCAAAAAACCUACACAAAAUCAAUUCGUGCAAAAAAUAUACAACUAUCUGAACCAAUUCAUACAAGUUGCCAACUACCAAAACAAGAACAUACAAUCACUAGAUUAUAACCCAGAAAAACUUAUUGGAUGGCAAACCAAACCUUUGAAAGGAUAUAACAAAUUAGUAGCAUUAAACAAAACAGACCCAAAACCCAUACAGACCAUGUAUAAUUAUGGACUAUUGCAUGCGGUAUAUACGCAAAAUGG